CCACUUCCUUGUUGUUGCAUCAUUUGUUUGGAGUUUUGCUGCUUGUUUGCCUGACUGCUAUUUCCUGGCUGCCUUUUGGACCCCAUGCCUAUUCAGCAUGUGACUGCCUGCUGUGUGGCCUGGUCCCUUGUCUGACAUGCCAGCCUAAUCUGCUAUUAAACAGCCUUCCAGACCUUUGCCUCCAACAAUGACUGCCUAGCCCUGAUUAGUGUAGUGGAAAUGGGAGGCGAGAGAGAAAUGACAUGGAACAAAGGGCAUAAGGCUUGAAUCGAACCCGGGACGUUACGCUCCGGUGCUUGAUGUUGCAGGCGGCACCCCCCACCUCAAGGGAGAAGAACAGUCAGCUGUGUGUUGGUGAAAGUGCUGCAGCGGGACCAGGAUCAGAAAGUCACAAAUGUAAGAUCAAAGGGAGCCACUGGAGAGGGACUAAAAAAGCCGCAUGACGCUCCGGAGCUGCAGGUUGCUGACCCCUGACCUAACCCUAAAGGCUGUAACCUCAAUGUGGAACAACGCUUUUGAAAAUGAACAAACAUAG